GCCCGGGUACGCCAGCGGAAGAGCGAGCGCGCUUAAAACGCGCGGAAUGCGUCGGUUCGAAUCCGACCCCGGGUA
rnacentral:tRNA from 2 species